AGUGAACGCUGGCGGCAGGCCUAACACAUGCAAGUCGAACGGCAGCACAAGAGAGCUUGCUCUCUGGGUGGCGAGUGGCGGGCGGGUGAGGAAUGCAUCGGAAUCUGCCCAUUUGUGGGGGAUAACCUCGGGAAACCGGUACUAAUACCGCAGACGACCUACGGGUGAAAGCGGGGGAUCUUCGGACCUUGCGCAGAUGGAUGAGCCGAUGCCGGCUUCGCUAGUUUGGGGGGUAAAGGGCCACCAAGGCGGCGAUCCGUAGCUGGUGUGAGAGGCUGAUGAGCGGCACUGGGACUGAGACACGGCCCAGACUCCUACGGGAGGCAGCAGUGGGGAAUAUUGGACAGUGGGCGCAAGCAUGAUCCAGCCAUGCCGCGUGUGUGAAAAAGGCCUUCGGGUUGUAAAGCACUUUUGUUGGGAAAGAAAAGCAGCCGGUUAAUACCCGGUUGUCAUGACGGUACCCAAAGAAUAAGCACCGGCUAACUUCGUG
rnacentral:rRNA from 1 species